CAGGAACAGUAAAGCAGGCGACAGAAGAGAGUGUAUAAAAGACAACACGGUUCUCACAGGAUUGAAUGUGAAGGCUUUUCGUGAUGUCU
rnacentral:lncRNA from 1 species